UCACUUCCGGCGUCCACACCUUUUGAUUGUUGCUCAGAAAGCCCUUUGUUUAUCGAGUUGGCUUUCAAGUGACAAUCAAGUUGUGAAGGAUAGCCAUGAGC
rnacentral:pre_miRNA from 1 species